GUCACUCAGUGUGUUGAAUGUAACACUUCUGCAUAGACAACCCAGAGUAGGUUUUAAUUUGUGUAUUUUUCAUCUAUUGUCCACAUACAUGACAAAUUCAUGUUGAUUCCAGGAGAUCAUAAUCUUAGAAAAAAGAGGAAAUUAGAAAUUCGAUUAGAGACCAACAGUUUGCUUCAAGCAGCUUUUAAUGGAUCUCUCAGAAUAUUACUUCAACUGAAUUGAGCUUUACCCCUCUCACCUCUUCUCAUUUUGUGUGAAAUGAAGAAUCCUCCUCAGGGCCUGUUGGUGAAAUGUGUUUUGAUUUAAUUUCAUUUCAGUUGACCUUCAAGGAUGUGUUCACAGAUUUCACUCCUGAGGAGUGGGAAUGUCUGGACCCUGCCCAGAGGACCUUGUACAAGGACGUGAUGGUGGAGACCCUCAGGAACCUGCUGUCUCGGGGCACAGUUGACCUUCAACGAUGUGUUCAUAGAGUUCACUCUUGAGGAGUGGGAAUGUCUGGACCCUGCCCAGAGGACCUUGUACAAGGACGUGAUGGUGGAGACCCUUAGGAACCUACUGUCUGUGGGAGACACGGGUUCGAUCCCUCGUCUGGAAGAUCCCACAUCACAGAGCAGCAAAGCCCGUGGGCCAGAACUACUAAAGCAGCACUUUAGAGCCUGGAAUCUGUGAUUACUGAGCCCACAUGGAACAACUACUGAAGCCCGUGCACCCAGGGGAAGCCACAGCAAGUAAGGAGCCCAAACACUGCAACUGGAGCGUAGCCCCUACCUGCCCAAUUUGGGGAAAAUUCCAAGCAGCAAUGAUCACUCACUCCAGCCAAAAUAAAUGAAUGAACAAAAUUAUUAAAGAUAACAAAUGCAUUUAUUUUUUAAAAAGAAAGUUUGGAUUCUGGAAGAAGUCAAGUAUGACAUAUCUUCUGAGCGGGAAUUUCUGAUUCUGACCUGAAUCAUAACUCUAUUUUUGUAGCAUGAGAAAGGUCCCUGGAUUGUGGAGAAUGAGGUGCUAAUCGCAGAAAAUCAGAUGAGUGGGAAAGGAUCAAACAAUGUGAUCCCAGGUCAGCUGUCACAAGGACAGAGAGGAAGCCACACCAUUCAUCGUGUUUGGGAAGCUCUCGAAGUGUGAGAGUUCUGUGAGAGAACAGAUAUUUAGUAUUUGUGAACUCUCAGAGGAGAUUUUUCUUCUCCUCAACUUCCUGCUGUGUUCUUUGACGUGUGAAAUGUACAUCACCCUCCUUGGAAGGAAAGUUAUGACCAACCGAGAUAGCAUAUUAGAAAGCAGAGACAUUACU